rnacentral:rRNA from 1 species
CACGUAGUUAGCCGGGGCUUCUUACUCAGGUACCGUCAUUUUCUUCCCUGCUGAUAGAGCUUUACAUCACGAAUGACUUCUUCACUCACGCGGCGUUGCUGCAUCAGGGUUUCCCCCAUUGUGCAAUAUUCCCCACUGCUGCCUCCCGUAGGAGUUUGGGCUGUGUCUCAGUCCCAAUGUGGCCGUUCACCCUCUCAGGCCGGCUACUGAUCGUCGCCUUGGUGGCUUCUACCCCGCCAACCAGCUAAUCAGACGCGGAUCCAUCUUACACCACCGGAGUUUUUCACACUGAGCCAUGCGGCUCUGUGCGCUUAUGCGGUAUUAGCACCUAUUUCUAAGUGUUUACUCCCCCAGUGUAAGGCAGGUUAUCCACGCGUUACUCACCCGUCCGCCACUAAGUACGAAUCACUAGUUCAUCGUAACUCCGUUCGACUUGCAUGUGUUAGGCACGCCGCCAGCGUUACACUCCUGACCAGGAUACGAACUACUCAGAGUACCG